GAUGAACGCUGGCGGCGUGCCUAACACAUGCAAGUCGAACGUUCUUUUCAUGAAGCCUAGCGAUUGAAAAGUUAGUGGCGGACGGGUGAGUAACGCGUGGGUAACCUGCCUUGUACUGGGGGACAACAGUUGGAAACGACUGCUAAUACCGCAUAAGCGCACAGCUUCGCAUGAAGCAGUGUGAAAAACUCCGGUGGUACAAGAUGGACCCGCGUCUGAUUAGCUGGUUGGUGAGGUAACGGCCCACCAAGGCGACGAUCAGUAGCCGGCCUGAGAGGGUGAACGGCCACAUUGGGACUGAGACACGGCCCAAACUCCUACGGGAGGCAGCAGUGGGGAAUAUUGCACAAUGGGGGAAACCCUGAUGCAGCAACGCCGCGUGAGUGAAGAAGUAUUUCGGUAUGUAAAGCUCUAUCAGCAGGAAAGAAAAUGACGGUACCUGACUAAGAAGCCCCGGCUAACUACGUGCCAGCAGCCGCGGUAAUACGUAGGGGGCAAGCGUUAUCCGGAUUUACUGGGUGUAAAGGGAGCGCAGACGGUUUUGCAAGUCUGAAGUGAAAGCCCGGGGCUUAACCCCGGGACUGCUUUGGAAACUGUAGAACUAGAGUGCAGGAGAGGUAAGUGGAAUUCCUAGUGUAGCGGUGAAAUGCGUAGAUAUUAGGAGGAACACCAGUGGCGAAGGCGGCUUACUGGACUGUAACUGACGUUGAGGCUCGAAAGCGUGGGGAGCAAACAGGAUUAGAUACCCUGGUAGUCCACGCCGUAAACGAUGAUUACUAGGUGUUGGUGGGUACGACCCAUCGGUGCCGCAGCAAACGCAAUAAAGUAUCCACC
rnacentral:rRNA from 1 species